rnacentral:rRNA from 1 species
AUUGAACGCUGGCGGCAGGCCUAACACAUGCAAGUCGAGCGGAUGAAGGGAGCUUGCUCCUGGAUUCAGCGGCGGACGGGUGAGUAAUGCCUAGGAAUCUGCCUGGUAGUGGGGGAUAACGUCCGGAAACGGGCGCUAAUACCGCAUACGUCCUGAGGGAUAAAGCGGGGGAUCUUCGGACCUCACGCUAUCAGAUGAGCCUAGGUCGGAUUAGCUAGUUGGUGGGGUAAAGGCCUACCAAGGCGACGAUCCGUAACUGGUCUGAGAGGAGGAUCAGUCACACGGGAACUGAGACACGGUCCAGACUCCUACGGGAGGCAGCAGUGGGGAAUAUUGGACAAUAGGCGAAAGCCUGAUCCAGCCAUGCCGCGUGUGUGAAGAAGGUCUUCGGAUUGUAAAGCACUUUAGGUUGGGAGAAAGGGCAGUAAGUUAAUACCUUGCUGUUUUGACGUUACCAACAGAAUAAGCACCGGCUAACUUCGUG